GACGUAGGGCGCGAGCGUUGUCCGGAUUUAUUGGGCGUAAAGAGCUCGUAGGCGGCUUGUCGCGUCGUCCGUGAAAACUUGGGGCUCAACCCCAAGCUUGCGGUCGAUACGGGCAGGCUAGAGUUCGGUAGGGGAGACUGGAAUUCCUGGUGUAGCGGUGGAAUGCGCAGAUAUCAGGAGGAACACCAAUGGCGAAGGCAGAUCUCUGGGCCGUAACUGACGCUGAGGAGCGAAAGCAUGGGGAGCGAACAGG
rnacentral:rRNA from 1 species